UUGGAUCCGUCCAAUGGCGGUUCUCGACGGUAUCUUUUACACUUCAGGCUCUUUAAUCCCAGUUUACAAAAGUGUUUUCGAGUGUUGGGACUUACAUUGAUACAGGAAUACUACAAGUCACCGGACACGCAAUCAUAUAUAUAUCGCACUACCAAAAUUAUAUCAAACAAAAUGAAGCCUGACAAGACAACAAUGCCGACAGAGUUGUUCAAAACCGAGGUUAGAGAGAAAACAUUGAGAAGGAAGACAGUAUACAUGGUGAUUGCUGUUGUUGCAUUCGUCCUCGUGGUCAGUGCAGUACUUCUUUCGGUUUAUUUUGGAAUGAAGAUGACCAAAGACAUCUACAAGGUAAAC